GGUGGAGUGGCUAGAGCACGGGGCUGGGAGUCCAGAGGUCGUGGGUUUUAAUCCCGUCUCCACCC
rnacentral:tRNA from 1 species